AAGAAGCUGUCAAAACCACAUCAGGGGAAGAUAAGGAUAAAGGAUCUCACGAAGAUGAAGAUGGACAGAAUAGAAAUGAAGAGGUUAUAAAUGAAGAGGCUGGCAAACAAAAUGUUGAUGGAGAUAUUGCUAGAGAAGAUUUCGUAGAAAGCCAGUCUG